UACAGAGGGGGCAAGCGUUGUUCGGAAUUACUGGGCGUAAAGGGCGCGUAGGCGGCCUUCUAAGUCGGACGUGAAAUCCCCGGGCUCAACCCGGGAACUGCGUCCGAUACUGGAAGGCUUGAAUCCGGGAGAGGGAUGCGGAAUUCCAGGUGUAGCGGUGAAAUGCGUAGAUAUCUGGAGGAACACCGGUGGCGAAGGCGACAUCCUGGACCGGUAUUGACGCUGAGGCGCGAAAGCCAGGGGAGCAAACGGG
rnacentral:rRNA from 1 species